rnacentral:rRNA from 1 species
UACGUAGGGGGCAAGCGUUGUCCGGAAUCAUUGGGCGUAAAGCGCGUGUAGGCGGCUCGGUAAGUCCGGUGUGAAACCUUGGGGCUCAACCCCAAGCCUGCACUGGAUACUGUCGAGCUCGAGUCCGGGAGGGGAGAGCGGAAUUCCUAGUGUAGCGGUGAAAUGCGCAGAUAUUAGGAAGAACACCGGUGGCGAAGGCGGCUCUCUGGAACGGUACUGACGCUGAGACGCGAAAGCGUGGGGAGCGAACAGG